UGGCGAUGAUUACAAAUUAUCCGCGCUUCUGAGAGCAAUCGAUGAAGGAUAAAGGAUAUAUAUGGUUGAAUUUCUUGAUAUGAGCCU